CAUGCAUACAAACAGUGGAGCCUCGCAAGGGGUGACUGCGUACCUUUUGUAUAAUGGGUCAGCGACUUACGUUCUGUAGCGAGCUUAACCGAAUAGGGGAGCGUAGCGAAAGCGAGUCUGAUAAGGGCGCUUUAGUUGCAGGGCGUAGACCCGAAACCAGAUGAUCUAUCCAUGGCCAGGAUGAAGGUGCCGUAACAGGUACUGGAGGUCCGAACCCACUAAUGUUGAAAAAUUAGGGGAUGAGCUGUGGAUAGGGGUGAAAGGCUAAACAAAUCUGGAAAUAGCUGGUUCUCCCCCGAAAAGCUAUUUAGGUAGCGCCUCAUGUAUCACUCGCGGGGGUAGAGCACUGUAAUGGUUGGAGGGGUCAUUGCGAUCUACUCCGCCAUAGCAAACUCCGAAUACCGCGAAGUGCGAGCAUGGGAGACAGACGGUGGGUGCUAACGUCCAUCGUCAAGAGGGAAACAACCCAGACCGCCAGCUAAGGUCCCCAAGCCAUGGUUAAGUGGAAAACGAAGUGGGAAG
rnacentral:rRNA from 1 species